rnacentral:rRNA from 1 species
UUUUUGAAAAUAAUAAAAAGUUCAAUCUGCCCACUGAAUUUAUUUAAAGGGCUGCAGUAUACUGACUGUACAAAGGUAGCAUAAUCAAUAGUCUUUUAAUUGAAGACUUGUAUGAAUGAUUUGAUGAAAUAUGAACUGUCUCUUUUUUAAAAAUAAAAUUUAAUUUUUUAGUUAAAAAGCUAAAAUAAUUAUAAAAGACGAGAAGACCCUAUAGAGUUUUAUAGUUACUUAAUUUAAAAAUUUUAUAUAUAAUUUAAAUUUAAAAUUAAUUAAUUAUUUUAUUGGGGUGAUAGAAAAAUUAAAAAAACUUUUUUUUAAAAAUUUAACAUUAAUUUAUGAAAUUAUGAUCCAUAAUUUAUGAUUAAAAGAAUCAAUUACCUUAGGGAUAACAGCGUAAUUUUUUUUUUUAGUACAAAUAAGAAAAAGAGUUUGCGACCUCGAUGUUGGAUUAAGAUAAAAUUUAAAUGCAAAAGUUUAAAAUUUUUGAUCUGUUCGAUCAUUAAAAUCUUACA